rnacentral:rRNA from 1 species
UACGUAGGGGGCAAGCGUUGUCCGGAUUUACUGGGUGUAAAGGGUGCUCAGGCGGAUUUGUAAGUCAGAGGUGAAACUCCGGUGCUUAACACCGGAACUGCCUUUGAUACUGCAAGUCUUGAAUUUGAGAGAGGGUGAUGGAAUAACUGGUGUAGCAGUGAAAUGCGUAGAUAUCAGUUAGAACACCAAUGGCGAAGGCAGUCACCUAAUCUCAAUAAUUGACGCUAAAGCACGAAAGUGUGGGUAGCAAACAGG